rnacentral:rRNA from 1 species
AAACCGCAUGGUUUUGAUUUGAAAGGCGCUUUCGGGUGUCGCUGAUGGAUGGACCCGCGGUGCAUUAGCUAGUUGGUGAGGUAACGGCUCACCAAGGCCACGAUGCAUAGCCGACCUGAGAGGGUGAUCGGCCACAUUGGGACUGAGACACGGCCCAAACUCCUACGGGAGGCAGCAGUAGGGAAUCUUCGGCAAUGGACGAAAGUCUGACCGAGCAACGCCGCGUGAGUGAAGAAGGUUUUCGGAUCGUAAAACUCUGUUGUUAGAGAAGAACAAGGAUGAGAGUAACUGUUCAUCCCUUGACGGUAUCUAACCAGAAAGCCACGGCUAACUACGUGCCAGCAGCCGCGGUAAUACGUAGGUGGCAAGCGUUGUCCGGAUUUAUUGGGCGUAAAGCGAGCGCAGGCGGUUUCUUAAGUCUGAUGUGAAAGCCCCCGGCUCAACCGGGGAGGGUCAUUGGAAACUGGGAGACUUGAGUGCAGAAGAGGAGAGUGGAAUUCCAUGUGUAGCGGUGAAAUGCGUAGAUAUAUGGAGGAACACCAGUGGCGAAGGCGGCUCUCUGGUCUGUAACUGACGCUGAGGCUCGAAAGCGUGGGGAGCAAACAGGAUUAGAUACCCUGGUAGUCCACGCCGUAAACGAUGAGUGCUAAGUGUUGGAGGGUUUCCGCCCUUCAGUG